GAUGAACGCUAGCGGCAGGCUUAAUACAUGCAAGUCGAGGGACAGCACAGGUGGCAAUACUGGGUGGUAACCGGCAAACGGGUGCGGAACACGUACACAGCCUUCCUUUAAGUGGGGGAUAGCCCAGAGAAAUUUGGAUUAAUACCCCGUAACAUAGUUGAAUGGCAUCAUUUGAUUAUUAUAGCUACGGCGCUUAAUGAUGGGUGUGCGGCUGAUUAGAUAGUUGGCGGGGUAACGGCCCACCAAGUCUACGAUCAGUAGCUGAUGUGAGAGCAUGAUCAGCCACACGGGCACUGAGACACGGGCCCGACUCCUACGGGAGGCAGCAGUAAGGAAUAUUGGUCAAUGGACGCAAGUCUGAACCAGCCAUGCCGCGUGAAGGAUUAAGGUCCUCUGGAUUGUAAACUUCUUUUAUUUGGGACGAAAAAGGGCCUUUCUAGGUCAACUGACGGUACCAGAUGAAUAAGCACCGGCUAACUCCGUGCCAGCCGCCGCAGUAACAC
rnacentral:rRNA from 1 species